UACGUAGGUGGCAAGCGUUGUCCGGAUUUACUUGUCUUAAAGAUCGCUCAGGCGGUCGUUCAAGUCGCGUGUGAAAGCCCCCGGCUCAACUGGGGAGGGUCACGCGAUACUGAUCGACUCGAAGGCAGGAGAGGGUAGUGGAAUUCCCGGUGUAGUGGUGAAAUGCGUAGAUAUCGGGAGGAACACCAGUGGCGAAGGCGACUACCUGGCCUGUUUCUUGACGCUGAGGCGCGAAAGCUAGGGGAGCAAACGGG
rnacentral:rRNA from 1 species